AGCAGCCACCUUUUAAAAAGCGUCAAAGCUUAACCUAAUUCCUCUAAAAUACCAUUAACCUUAAUGAACCCCUAAUCUAUAAUGAAUGACCCCAUAUAAAUAUGGAAGACACCAUGCUAGGAUAAGUAACAAGAAUUAAUAAUUCUCCAAAAUGCAAACAUACACCAGCAUGGAUAAACCAUUGGUAAUUACCGAAUCUGAACUUACUGCAACAACACUUACAAGAAAACCAUGCAGUAUUUGCUCGUUAACCUAACACUAGUGCAUUUCAGGAAAGAUUUAAAAAAAGAGAAGGAAUUCGGCAAAUGAAAACCCCGCCUGUUUACCAAAAACAUCGCCUCUUGAUUUAUGAUAAGAGGUCCAGCCUGCCCAGUGAAUUUUUAACGGCCGCGGUAUCCUAACCGCGCGAAGGUAGCAUAAUCACUUGUUCUUUAAAUGGGGACUCGUAUCAACGGCAUCACGAGGGUUUUACUGUCUCCUCUUUUUGAUCAGUGAAAUUGAUCUUCCCGUGAAGAAGCGGGAAUACUCAUAUAAGACGAGAAGACCCCAUGGAGCUUAAAACCAAAUGGUAACUUAACCACAUAUUUCCUUAUAACUUUAAGCCUAUACUAUGAGGUUUUUGGUUGGGGUGACCGCGGAGUAAAACAUAUCCUCCACGACGGAAAGACUACAAUCUUUAUUUAAGAACCACAGUUCUAAAAAUUAGCAUACUAACGUUUACUGACCCGAUAAUCGAUCAACGGAACAAGUUACCCUGGGGAUAACAGCGCAAUCUACUUCAAGAGCCCAUAUCGACGAGUAGGCUUACGACCUCGAUGUUGGAUCAGGGUAUCCCAGUGGUGCAGCCAUUACUGAAGGUUCGUUUGUUCAACGAUUAAAACCCUACGUG
rnacentral:rRNA from 1 species